rnacentral:lncRNA from 1 species
CACCUCUCCAGAAUGGUAGCAGGUUUCCCAUCCUAGCUGGGGCUGCAUCCUGAUCCCCAGCAGCUCUGAGGCCCAGCCUGGCUGGGCCCUGACUGGGAAAGCUCAAGUCUGCACCACGACUGGUAUGAGUAUGUGGAGGCAGCCGCAAAGUCAAACUAACCCUUAGAGUCCUAGAGCUAGAAGACUAUGGAGCUCAUCUCACCCGAACAGGAUCCCCUCUAUUGCCACCUUCUUCAGGGGGCCUCUUGUCCCACUUAAUGACCACAGGUGAUGGAACUCGCUAUCUCCAGGAGCAGCCAGACUGCCAGCAACAGGGAGCGGGUUGCCCUUGCUCCUACUGUGUCCCCAUGUCUCAGCACGGGGCUGUCACACAGAAGGCGCUCAAUGAAUACAGGCCGAGUGAAUGAAUGAACCGACGAAGACCCAGGUGCUGUGCAAAGACCGGUGAUUCUGGGGAGGAUGGACUGUGUCCUGAGCUCCUAAGAUUUCGCAGAGGAGCAGUGACAGGGUCUGAAUUUCGGCAGGAAGGCCGCUCUGGAUCCAGGAAAUGGGUUUGUGACGGCGAGGUGGCCACUCCGUUUCUUUCCCAUAUCUCAGCCUCCUAGAUCAGGAGCCAGAAGAGAUGUUGGAGACCAUUAAGAAGAGAGCAGAAAGCUGAAGUUCAAAAGAGAAAAUGAUUUUCCAGGGUCAUACACUGGGAGAGGGGCCAGGGCCCACUGGGGCUCUGCCUAACUCUGCUCUGUGCUGUCUCUGGGGUGCGUAGCUGAGGCCUCACUCAGCACCCAGCUGGCUGUGUGAGGAAGCGGUGGGGAGAGAGUGUCACACUCCAUCGUGACCAGGUCAGAAAGCCCACACGUCUACACAUUGCCUGGGCCCCGGAUGGGUGGGCAGCACUCUCCUGUUUCUCAGAGGGAACGUAGAGAGGGGAUGUAAGCACCUUACCACAACAGAGCACUGUUCACACAGAGACGCAGGCCUCCCAAUUCACCCCAGAUACCCAAGGCCAGAGGAGGCGCUGGUACCAAGG